ensembl:scaRNA
GGUCUGUGAUGUCAUGUAAAAGGUCUGAACCUCAGAUUCCCCCCGUUGGCCAUCUUGGCUCCCAGCAGCCCCGGCUCUGUAUCCCAUCAUGCUCUAGUGGUGCAGUGGUGGUCCCAGGAGCUGCUGACAGACAGGAUGUGACAUCACAGGGAAUCUGUACAGAGAUCCUACAGGUUCUGUGUGAUGUCAUCCAACAGAACCAAUCAGCAUGGAGCGUCAGGCUGAGGGGGCGGGGCCUGAGUGCUGAUCUCACUCUUGUACUGAGACC